CUUUCUCUUUCUCUUUCUUCUUGUUGUCUUUCUCUCUUGUUGUUGCAGACAAAGAUGAAGUGCCUCUUGCU
rnacentral:ribozyme from 1 species